UUGGUUUUCCCACCUAAAAGUCUUAAACACACGCCCAACACCACCCAUCUAUCUUUAAUUUUCGCGUUGAUAUUCUCAUAUACCAGUCAUACCUAUCUCCCCUUCGUUUUUCCCUCUCUUCAUCCCAUCCCUCUUCCUCCUGUUGCUAGUUAGGUCGCCGCCCGAUCUUCUUCCACCCUCCUCUCUUCUUUUCCUCCCCUACCUUGAAGCAUUAGUAAGGUUUUAAAGUCGCCGCUCACACAAAAGGGCCAAAACGACCACUUUCUAGCAGCUGGUCCCCAAAUCUAGUGUCAUCUCCUCUCCUCUUUGAUUUCCGCUUAAAAUUUUCGCAAAUGUCAUCUUUUACUACAUUUGUAUCGCUAUUUUUUUAAUUUCAAUAUUAUUGUUGACAAAUUUCGGAUUUAGGGUUUAUGUUAUCCUAAUUCAGAAUUUCUGGUUGAUUUCUAGAGUUCCAAUUUUAAGAUGGUGACGGUGGCUUGUGGAUCGAGGUUGGAUUUUUAGGGUUCUUGUUAUGGUUGUUGCCGCUUGCGUUGCUGCGGUGAGGUGUUUUCUGUGGUGAUGUUGUGGCUAAAGGUUUGCUAUGUGAAGCUCUAAGAUCGAUCUCUACAUCUCUUGUCAGAUUGAGUUGAGGUUACAAUGUCACGCACAAGGAGGCGACCAAGGUGUACCUUGUGGGACUGUUUAAGGAAGGAAAGCAUGCAGCUAUAUGGCAGUUGUUGGAUGUUGUAUUGAUCCAAAUGUGGCCAACUAUGAUCAAACUACAGGGAGUGACGAUGGGAGUUGUACCUGCACUUUGUAGAUUUUUUUUUUUUAAUACCGUAAUUUGCUGCAACGAAAUGAGAUUAGAGGAAAUAAAUUUAGUUUGUAUCUAUUGGAAGGAUUAAUAUUCUACUUGUAUAUUUACCUUAUUUUUUAUUUUUUGUUUGUUAGUCGGUGAAUUGUCAUUAUUAUUGGUUUGUAAUAAAAGUAUUAUUGUGUUACAUUUAAACAUCUCAGCUAGCAUUUGCUAGGUAA